rnacentral:rRNA from 1 species
AUUGAACGCUGGCGGCAGGCCUAACACAUGCAAGUCGAGCGGUAGAGAGGUGCUUGCAUCUCUUGAGAGCGGCGGACGGGUGAGUAAUGCCUAGGAAUCUGCCUAGUGGUGGGGGGAUAACGUUCGGAAACGGACGCUAAUACCGCAUACGUCCUACGGGAGAAAGCGGGGGAUCUUCGGACCUCGCGCCAUUAGAUGAGCCUAGGUCGGAUUAGCUAGUUGGUGAGGUAAUGGCUCACCAAGGCGACGAUCCGUAACUGGUCUGAGAGGAUGAUCAGUCACACUGGAACUGAGACACGGUCCAGACUCCUACGGGAGGCAGCAGUGGGGAAUAUUGGACAAUGGCGAAAGCCUGAUCCAGCCAUGCCGCGUGUGUGAAGAAGGUCUUCGGAUUGUAAAG